UUUAUUUUAGAUGUUCCUUCGGAUGUUGCUUUGAGUGUUUCCAGUAGAUUUAGUUACUUUUGUUGGACUUUGGAUUUUCGUGCUUUGUGUUUUUUGUGGACUGCUCACACCUAACAACCUCGUUCAGCCCAAGAGGCUCAACAUAACUGAAUGAACUGGCCCCAAGUGAUAGACAACCACUUCAAUACACAGGUUGCAGGUUGGAUCUGCUGCUUGUCUGUUAUCCUCCCUCUCAGAGGUUCAGAGCAGCCAUUAAACACAGAGGCUCCUGGCUGACCUUAUCGAAGAAUCCACCUCAGGAGCAGGAAAUUCAUCUUUCCUGACAAUCCAGUGACUGGACGACUGCAUGCAUCAAGUCAGCAAACUCUGACAGCCACGCACAGGGAGAAAAACGGCAACACCAUUUCACCCUGAUUUAAUGCUUGGACAGCACGCACGCCUGGGAUGUUUUGUAAUAUGGAUUAGGAAACAGACUGUCACUGGUUCGCUUCUUAUCCAUCAUGGGUUUCUUCAAAUAGGGCUUAUUCAGGGGUAUAACCUGACUUCUUAUCAAUAGAAAGGGGUUUAUUGUGCUCCUUAAAAGGGGUUUUCAUCCAUUUCAUUCCAAGUAAGGACACUGAAAGAAGGAAAUAACAAAACAGGAUGGAUGAACCAUGUUUUGUGAAAUUACAGUUCCCAAAGAUCUACUGCGUUCAAUUAACAUGAUAAAGUGUUCCAAAUGACACAUCCCUAUGAGGAGUGCAGGAAAAUACAUCUAGAAGCAGAAGACAGAGGGCUGAUUAAACCAGUCAGACAAAAACAUCAAAAGCACAGCAAACAAGUUAUGAAAUUAUGGGCAGGAGAUUAAGCAGCGGUCACCAGGAUACUCCAGUAUUCAUCAGACUCAGCUGUUCUCAGCAGACUCUGUGAGCCGAGGUGUUAUGAAAACUAAAUGCAGUGAGUCAGUGCUGUGCCCACAGGUCAGCGAGGUGAGGGGAGGGUGAAUAAAAAUACAAAAGCCUUUUCCUAGGAGAAAAAAAAUAAACAGAUAAAAUAAAUCUGUCACACCCCUCUUUACAAACAGGGAGAAAAAAAAUUUACAAACAGAAAAGAACAAAUUCUGAAACUACUGUGUCUGUCUGCUCUCUGUUUGAUCGAGACUUUUUGUAAGAAGAAGCAUAGAAAAAAACAAUUUGAUCCUCUGUAUGUGACUCUUGAGCAAAACAUAAAAACUCCUGAGGUCACUAAA